GUAGGUGAACCUGCGGAAGGAUCAUUACAGAGUAAUAGCCCCCCUCGGGGGCGAUUCUCCAACCCUUUGUGGAUUAACUCUUGUUGCUUUGGCGUGACCGUGGGGCCCUGCCCCCCGCUGGCCUCGGCUGGUGAGUGUCCGCCAGAGGAAAUCACAAACUCUGAAAUAUCAUGUCGUCUGAGUAUCAUACAAAAUAGUUAAAACUUUCAACAACGGAUCUCUUGGUUCUGGCAUCGAUGAAGAACGCAGC
rnacentral:misc_RNA from 1 species